rnacentral:lncRNA from 1 species
UGGGAUGUAAAACCUUGGUUUGCAAUGCUAAAUUCAGCGGCAAAACCAUCCUUUUAUGAUUGUAGAUUCUCGUGAUGCUCCUAACAUAGGACUCCUAGAAGAACAAUGACUCUUCCUUAUACUUUCCUAGCACAAAAAGAAAAGCAAAAACAUUUUCUAUAGUUUGUUACUCCCUGAAUCGGCUAGUUCGGCACAAUUCAACAAUCCUUGCUCUAAAGGCAAAGAACAAGCCUCGGGCUAAAGGAAUCAAGCCAAAAGUUGAAAGAAAAGCAUGAAGUAGAAGAAGAAUGAAAAUUUUAAAAUUUUUAUAAUGUUUGCAACAACUUUGUAAAUCCUGUGGGAUAAAGGUGUCCAGUUUCUCUGUGGAAUGGGAUGUCCUGCUAUCCCGUUCUGUCCUGACAGCAAUCCUACUCAUGCAUUCUGAUAGAUAUCUUUCAUGUUUCUUCCCUUCUUCUUUCCUUUCUUUCUUCUUUUUUCUUUUUUCUUUUUUUCUUUCUUCCUUAUUUUCUUUCUUUUCCUCUACCUUCCUUUAUUUCCUUUUCUUUUUUGUUCAUUUUCUUCUCCUUUCCUUUCCUUUUUUUCAUUUUUUAUUUUCUUUCCUUUCAUUUUUUUUCUUUUCUUUAUCUUUCCUUCCUUUUCUUCUUUCCUCCUCUCCUUUUGUGGAUGGGUUUCAAAGUCCCGAGCCCACCCCCAGUCCCAUUUUCUCAUAGGGAAUGGGAUGCGACAAUCGGGACGCCCCUUGUCCCACUGGGAUAUAAAACGUUGGUUUGCAAUGCUAAAUUCAGCGGCAAAACCAUCCUUUUAUGAUUGUAGAUUCCCAUGAUUCUCCUAAAAUAGGACUCGUAGAAGAACAAGGACUCUUUCUUGUACUUUCCUAGCACAAAAGAAAAACCAAAAUAUUUUCUUUAAAAAUUGAGAAAUUCGUCACAUUGUAAGACACCUCAUAAAAGAUCAUGAAAAUCUUCUCAAAUCAUAAUUCUGAUGAGUCUAAAACUUUUCUAAUCCAACUAGGAUCCAAAGUAGGGUGUUUACAUGGCAGCCCUUAAAAUAGGACUCAAAAACAAAUUACAAAAUCUAGGCCCA